rnacentral:lncRNA from 1 species
AUAUGGAAACCAGGCUUAAAAGAUUAGUGUUUUUUCAGGUUGCUACAAAAGCUAUAUCUGGUUCAGUGUAAACGUAGCCUGAAAUAGACAGGGGGUAUUGAUUCUCUUGGAAUAUAAAUAUAUCUAAAGUAAAUCGAAUAAAUCACACACACUUAUCACCAACAUUGUCAUUUAUUGAUUUUCCAUUGAUCAAGUUUGCUCGCCGGUAGCUACUAGGUGAAUGUCUUUUAACAACACAACUUCCCCAGUAACUGCUUUAGUUAUUUCUUAUUUUCAAAUACAAAUAUGUUGUUGACUAAAACAUCUAUCAACAACUGUUUUUAUUUACACUUAUUAAGUCUGAUGUUUCAAACGUGUUGUUGAGCCUAAGGUAUGCACUGCAUGAAGUCUAACAGUAUUACAAUAUUCAAAACAUGUUCAAAAGUUCGAUCACAACGAAGGUUUCUUUUGCGAGUGUUCUCGUGUUCUGCUUCUUCAUUCUUCUGUAGUUUGGUUUUAAAUCUCAUGUCGUGUCAACUCUCAGGCUUGCAAACUUCAUCCACAGGGCCAGCAUCCGCAAAUUUCGCCGAUUGUGUAAUACUUUUACUUCAUGUAUGUUCAUCACGAGAGACACUUACGAUGUUUCGCUGCAGUUUGAAAGUUGUUUGGAAGAGAUAAUCACAACUCAACUGUCACAUGAUUGCAAUGUCACAGAAAGGAAGUCGUGUCUUGGAAAGACAAUUCCACGGGAGAAAGGAAGAUAACAAAUAACUGACAUAUAACUGGGGAAAUAUCAACCUCAAAUGAACAAUUUUUGACAUUGGUUUACUUGAACAAAUGCAUGUGAUGAGCAUUUCUGAUUCUUUCUUUAGAAAAUCUAUUCUUUAAAGCCUUGUCCUCACUGCGACGCAAACAAAUUAAAGCAUAAGAGUUAAGGAUCAAACGUAUUGAUUCUUAUGCGUUCUUUUCGCUUCUGUUGUUGUUUAUGCUUGCGCUUUAUCUUGCGUUGUAUCGAGGACAUAGUGAGAUCACAAGCAUAAGAACAUCAAAGCGUUCUGCUUGCUUAUUAUCAUUGCGGUCAUACUUGCGUUGUAGUGAGGACAAGACUGCAGUUUUAUUGUGUUUCAUUGUUAUAAUCAAUCAAUCACAGAACUUGUUCAUAUAGGUUGGAGACGACCACACAUAACACAACAAAUAUUUGACAAGACAUUGUGACAUGCAAUAGAACAAACAUUUGAAGAAUAGAACAACAAAUUCUGACAAAUAAAAAAAUAGAGGAAAUUCUGAUAUAAUAGGGCAAUAUUUUGACAGAUAUUCGGACAUAUAUCCUGUAAAUUUCACAAAUUAAUAUAUACCGGUUAGAGUUAUUUUGAACCAAUUUUAAUUCCAAAUGUGGUGAUACUUGGUUCAAAUUAACUUCCUGGGGCCGGUUGUAUAAAAAAGUGAUCAUAGUUAAGUGGAAAUGUCAUCCAAUAAGAAGCGCAUAUUUGAGAGUUAAUCACUAUUUAACUACAAAAUAGUGAUUAAAAAAGUGAAUCAGAUAAAGAGUUUUAUACAAUCGGCCCCUGAAAUGAACAGUAUAAUACAAGUGAAAUGUGUUAGGAAAUUCUGAAAUAAUUUUGAAUGAGGACAAAACGAAAGGUAGGCCUACAUAUUUUAUACUACUUAAUUUUGAUCAAUUAACACAUUUUACAAACAAGUUUUACAUACACAAUAAACAAUAAUAAACACAAACAUUAAAAAUAUUAGAAUUGUAAAGAUGACAGGAAUGAGGGGCUUUCUUAUUUUUUUCUCAUAUAGUUUAAUUUACAAAUGCGCGGAAAUAUAUAUAACAUUGCUGUUUUCAACAUUUUUAUUGAGUGGAACCACUACCAACAGUAUAAAUUAAUAAUUCAAUCAAGGUGACAAUCAGAACUGAUUUGUGCGUAAGGCAAUGGCUAAAACCUCUACACAGACGUAACUUGCUCUGGCAGAGAGUAUUUGCACAAAAUAUUAUGAAAAUACGGGAAAUGAUGUUUCCUGUGAGUCAUCAGUGACAAAUUAUUAAUGCGCACCGAAUUAAAUCAUAUACCAAAAUAUUAAUAUACAAUUACUUUAUGGUUUCCGUGUUUGCAUGGGCUGAUCCAAACACGCGGGAAUGUUGCGAGAGUGAAGAAAAGCGCGCGAAACACGAGCCGAAGGCGAGUGAUUUUG